GACGAACGCUGGCGGCGUGCUUAACACAUGCAAGUCGAACGGAAAGGCCCUGCUUUUGUGGGGUGCUCGAGUGGCGAACGGGUGAGUAACACGUGAGUAACCUGCCCUUGACUUUGGGAUAACUUCAGGAAACUGGGGCUAAUACCGGAUAGGAGCUCCUGCUGCAUGGUGGGGGUUGGAAAGUUUUGGCGGUUGGGGAUGGACUCGCGGCUUAUCAGCUUGUUGGUGGGGUAGUGGCUUACCAAGGCUUUGACGGGUAGCCGGCCUGAGAGGGUGACCGGCCACAUUGGGACUGGGAUACGGCCCAGACUCCUACGGGAGGCAGCAGUGGGGAAUAUUGCACAAUGGGCGGAAGCCUGAUGCAGCAACGCCGCGUGCGGGAUGACGGCCUUCGGGUUGUAAACCGCUUUCGCCUGUGACGAAGCGUGAGUGACGGUAAUGGGUAAAGAAGCACCGGCUAACUACGUG
rnacentral:rRNA from 1 species